rnacentral:rRNA from 1 species
AUUGAACGCUGGCGGCAGGCCUAACACAUGCAAGUCGAGCGAGCCGCGGACGUGUGAGUAAUGUAUUGGGACUGCGCGAUCUAGGGGGAUAACUACUGGAAACGGUGGCUACUACCGCAUACUGUCGGAUAACCCAUAUGGGAUUAGCUAGUAGGUAAGGUAAUGGCUUACCUAGGCGACGAUCCCUAUCUGGUCUGAGAGGAUGAUCAGCAACACGGGGACUGAGAAACGGCCCAGACUCCUACGGAGGCAGAAGUGGGGAAUAGUGCACAAGGGGCGAAAGCCUGAUGAAGCCAUGCCGCGUGUAUGAAGAAGGCCGUAGGGUGGUAAAGUACUUUCAGUCGGGAGGCGUUACCGACAGAAGAAGCAACGGCUAACUCCGUGCCAGCAGCCGCGGUAAUUC